CCCUUUCAAAGCAAAUGGCUGCAAUUCUUUGUAUUCAUCAAGUAUUGCACUGUUUUGCUUUGAAAGGU
rnacentral:pre_miRNA from 1 species